AGUUUGAUGGCAUCUAAAGAAAUCUGUUGCCAUGCAGUAGUGAGACUCUCCAUGGCAACUUGAAGUCGGGGCCCCUCAGGACUCUGGGGGGGCCACAGUGAGCUCUUCUUCGAACUGCAUCCACCCUCCCUGGGAUGAGCUGCCUCAUGAGGAUCUUUGUCACCAGCGCUUGGGGAGCACCUCCAAAGAGACCCCCUUCUCUGCCCGUGUGCCCCCAUCCAGGACAGCUCCCGUGCCCUUCUGUCUUUGUCUUAAACCCAACCCAGCCAUCCUCAGAAGCUUCCUCCGAGCUGCCCCUCAUGUUGCCUUUCUCAAUCGUUUUGACAAGAAACACCAGCAGGAACAGUCAAGACUUGGAAGAAAUCUGAUUGGGUCAGAAAGAAGGGGGACCUUGGAUAAUGACAGUAAUUGUCACAACUUCCAAUCUUCCUCAAGCUUUAGAGUUCAGGACUCUGGAUCCCCUCACCAAGGCCACGGCACCAGAGAGGAUGAGAAGGGCUGAUGUUGCAUCUCAGCUGCCCUCUUAGCUGACUAGCCGCACGGAAAAAAAGCUCCUGGAUUUUGACUGGCUCUUCCACCUGCUCACCUGCUCCAGCCCUGAGGCAAGAAUGGCUGUGCUACCCAUGUCACCACACCUGAAGCACCCAGCUGCCCUUCCAGGACCAGCCUCAAAUCCAGACAAGUGACAGACUCACGGGGGGCAGGCGCCAGUGUGAGUGGAAAUCACUGGAUCGAUGAUCAAGGGGAUUGUUGCCCAGCUUUCAGUGGCGCGUUGGAGUCUUUUGAGGAAUUCAUCUUGAAACCCGGGAUUUAUUGAGAGCUAAAAGGUUUUUGAAGUUUCCAGUGUU
rnacentral:lncRNA from 1 species